rnacentral:rRNA from 1 species
AACGAACGCUAUCGGUAUGCUUAACACAUGCAAGUCGGACGGACCAAUUAGGGCUUGCUCCACUUAGUUAGUGGCAGACGGGUGAGUAACACGUGGGAAUCUGCCCAUCAGUACGGAAUAACUUUUAGAAAUAAAAGCUAAUACCGUAUAUUCUCUACAGAGGAAAGAUUUAUCGCUGAUGGAUGAGCCCGCGUCAGAUUAGGUAGUUGGUGAGGUAACGGCUCACCAAGCCGACGAUCUGUAGCUGGUCUGCAGGGAUGAUCAGCAACACUGGAACGGAGACACGCCCCAAACUCCUCCGGAAGGAGGAGGGGGGGAUAAUGGAACAUGGGGCAAAAGCCGAAUCAGGCAAGACCGGGGAGGUAAUAAGGGCCUUGGGGUGGAAAGGCUCUUUUAGCGAGAAGAUAAAGAACGUACCUGGCAAAAAAGGCCCGGGCAAACUCCGU